rnacentral:rRNA from 1 species
AGCGUACACGGUGGAUGCCCUGGCAGUCAGAGGCGAUGAAGGACGUGCUAAUCUGCGAAAAGCGUCGGUAAGGUGAUAUGAACCGUUAUAACCGGCGAUGUCCGAAUGGGGAAACCCAGUGCAAUUCGUUGCACUAUCGUUAACUGAAUACAUAGGUUAACGAGGCGAACCGGGGGAACUGAAACAUCUAAGUACCCCGAGGAAAAGAAAUCAACCGAGAUUCCCCCAGUAGCGGCGAGCGAACGGGGAGCAGCCCAGAGUCUGAAUCAGCUUGUGUGUUAGUGGAACGGUCUGGAAAGUCCGACGGUACAGGGUGAUAGUCCCGUACACCAAAAUGCACAGGUUGUGAACUCGAAGAGUAGGGCGGGACACGUGGUAUCCUGUCUGAAUAUGGGGGGACCAUCCUCCAAGGCUAAAUACUCCUGACUGACCGAUAGUGAACCAGUACCGUGAGGGAAAGGCGAAAAGAACCCCGGCGAGGGGAGUGAAAAAGAACCUGAAACCGUGUACGUACAAGCAGUGGGAGCACCUUCGGGUGUGACUGCGUACCUUUUGUAUAAUGGGUCAGCGACUUAUAUUCUGUAGCAAGGUUAACCGUAUAGGGGAGCCGCAGGGAAACCGAGUCUUAACUGGGCGUUAAGUUGCAGGGUAUAGACCCGAAACCCGGUGAUCUAGCCAUGGGCAGGUUGAAGGUUGGGUAACACUAACUGGAGGACCGAACCGACUAAUGUUGAAAAAUUAGCGGAUGACUUGUGGCUGGGGGUGAAAGGCCAAUCAAACCGGGAGAUAGCUGGUUCUCCCCGAAAGCUAUUUAGGUAGCGCCUCGUGAACUCAUCUUCGGGGGUAGAGCACUGUUUCGGCUAGGGGGUCAUCCCGACUUACCAACCCGAUGCAAACUACGAAUACCGAAGAAUGUUAUCACGGGAGACACACGGCGGGUGCUAACGUCCGUCGUGAAGAGGGAAACAACCCAGACCGCCAGCUAAGGUCCCAAAGUCAUGGUUAAGUGGGAAACGAUGUGGGAAGGCACAGACAGCCAGGAUGUUGGCUUAGAAGCAGCCAUCAUUUAAAGAAAGCGUAAUAGCUCACUGGUCGAGUCGGCCUGCGCGGAAGAUGUAACGGGGCUAAACCAUGCACCGAAGCUGCGGCAGCGACACUAUGUGUUGUUGGGUAGGGGAGCGUUCUGUAAGCCUGCGAAGGUGACCUGUGAGGGUUGCUGGAGGUAUCAGAAGUGCGAAUGCUGACAUAAGUAACGAUAAAGCGGGUGAAAAGCCCGCUCGCCGGAAGACCAAGGGUUCCUGUCCAACGUUAAUCGGGGCAGGGUGAGUCGACCCCUAAGGCGAGGCCGAAAGGCGUAGUCGAUGGGAAACAGGUUAAUAUUCCUGUACUUGGUGUUACUGCGAAGGGGGGACGGAGAAGGCUAUGUUAGCCGGGCGACGGUUGUCCCGGUUUAAGCAUGUAGGCUGGUUGUCCAGGCAAAUCCGGAUAAUCAAGGCUGAGGUGUGAUGACGAGGCACUACGGUGCUGAAGUAACAAAUGCCCUGCUUCCAGGAAAAGCCUCUAAGCAUCAGGUAACAUUAAAUCGUACCCCAAACCGACACAGGUGGUCAGGUAGAGAAUACCAAGGCGCUUGAGAGAACUCGGGUGAAGGAACUAGGCAAAAUGGUGCCGUAACUUCGGGAGAAGGCACGCUGGUGUGUAGGUGAAGCCCCUGCGGGUGGAGCUGAGACCAGUCGAAGAUACCAGCUGGCUGCAACUGUUUAUUAAAAACACAGCACUGUGCAAACACGAAAGUGGACGUAUACGGUGUGACGCCUGCCCGGUGCCGGAAGGUUAAUUGAUGGGGUUAUCCGUAAGGAGAAGCUCUUGAUCGAAGCCCCGGUAAACGGCGGCCGUAACUAUAACGGUCCUAAGGUAGCGAAAUUCCUUGUCGGGUAAGUUCCGACCUGCACGAAUGGCGUAAUGAUGGCCAGGCUGUCUCCACCCGAGACUCAGUGAAAUUGAACUCGCUGUGAAGAUGCAGUGUACCCGCGGCAAGACGGAAAGACCCCGUGAACCUUUACUAUAGCUUGACACUGAACAUUGAGCCUUGAUGUGUAGGAUAGGUGGGAGGCUUUGAAGCGUGGACGCCAGUCUGCGUGGAGCCAACCUUGAAAUACCACCCUUUAAUGUUUGAUGUUCUAACGUUGGCCCCUUACCGGGGUUGCGGACAGUGUCUGGUGGGUAGUUUGACUGGGGCGGUCUCCUCCCAAAGCGUAACGGAGGAGCACGAAGGUUAGCUAAUCCUGGUCGGACAUCAGGAGGUUAGUGCAAUGGCAUAAGCUAGCUUGACUGCGAGCGUGACGGCGCGAGCAGGUGCGAAAGCAGGUCAUAGUGAUCCGGUGGUUCUGAAUGGAAGGGCCAUCGCUCAACGGAUAAAAGGUACUCCGGGGAUAACAGGCUGAUACCGCCCAAGAGUUCAUAUCGACGGCGGUGUUUGGCACCUCGAUGUCGGCUCAUCACAUCCUGGGGCUGAAGUAGGUCCCAAGGGUAUGGCUGUUCGCCAUUUAAAGUGGUACGCGAGCUGGGUUUAGAACGUCGUGAGACAGUUCGGUCCCUAUCUGCCGUGGGCGCUGGAGAAUUGAGGGGGGCUGCUCCUAGUACGAGAGGACCGGAGUGGACGCAUCACUGGUGUUCGGGUUGUCAUGCCAAUGGCACUGCCCGGUAGCUAAAUGCGGAAGAGAUAAGUGCUGAAAGCAUCUAAGCACGAAACUUGCCCCGAGAUGAGUUCU